UCAGAAUUUUUCCCUUCUCUGGUUC
rnacentral:piRNA from 1 species